GGAUAUAGAUAAAAUGAACUUGAUGAUAUUCUUUGCAAACAUUCUAGACCCAAGAGACAAGUUAGAGUACAUGGCAACACAGAUGAAUCACAUGUAUGGUGAGGAAAAAGGUAAACCAUACUAUGAGAAAGUUCUUUAUGCUUAGACAGAAU